rnacentral:rRNA from 1 species
GUGGGGAAUCUUCCGCAAUGGACGAAAGUCUGACGGAGCAACGCCGCGUGAGUGAAGAAGGUUUUCGGAUCGUAAAGCUCUUUCGUCAGGGACGAACGUAUUUCUUGUAAAUAAUGAGAGAUAGUGACGGUACCUUAAUAAGAAGCCACGGCUAACUACGUGCCAGCAGCCGCGGUAAUACGUAGGUGGCAAGCGUUGUCCGGAAUUAUUGGGCGUAAAGCGCGCGCAGGCGGGAUAUCAAGUCUGUCUUUAAAGUGCGAGGCUCAACCUCGAGAGGGGACGGAAACUGGUAUUCUUGAGUGUCGGAGAGGAAAGUGGAAUUCCAAGUGUAGCGGUGAAAUGCGUAGAGAUUUGGCAGAACACCAGUGGCGAAGGCGACUUUCUGGACGAUGUCUGACGCUGAGGCGCGAAAGCUAGGGGAGCGAACGGGAUUAGAUACCCGAGUAGUCC